rnacentral:tRNA from 4 species
GGCCUGAUGGUCUAGUGGUAUGAUUGUCGCUUCGUAUGUGACAGGCCCCGGGUUCGAAUCCCGGUCAGGCCC